rnacentral:rRNA from 1 species
AAUAGAUACCCAGGUAGUCCACGCCCUAAACGAUGUCAACUGGUUGUCGGGGAAGUUAUUCCUUGGUAACGAAGCUAACGCGUGAAGUUGACCGCCUGGGGAGUACGGCCGCAAGGUUAAAACUCAAAGGAAUUGACGGGGACCCGCACAAGCGGUGGAUUAUGUGGAUUAAUUCGAUGCAACGCGAAAAACCUUACCUACCCUUGACUUGUCAGGAAUCCCGCAGAGAUGCGGGAGUGCCCGAAAGGGAACCUGAACACAGGUGCUGCAUGGCUGUCGUCAGCUCGUGUCGUGAGAUGUUGGGUUAAGUCCCGCAACGAGCGCAACCCUUGUCAUUAGUUGCCACAUUCAGUUGGGCACUCUAGUGAGACUGCCGGUGACAAACCGGAGGAAGGUGGGGAUGACGUCAAGUCCUCAUGGCCCUUAUGGGUAGGGCUUCACACGUAAUACAAUGGCCGGUACAGAGGGCUGCCAACCCGCGAAGGGGGAGCUAAUCCCAGAAAGCCGGUCGUAGUCCGGAUUGUUCUCUGCAACUCGAGAGCAUGAA